rnacentral:rRNA from 1 species
AUUGAACGCUGGCGGAAUGCUUUACACAUGCAAGUCGAACGGUAGAGGGGGCAACCCCCUUGAGAGUGGCGAACGGGUGAGUAAUAUAUCGGAACGUGCCCAGUCGUGGGGAUAACGUAGCGAAAGUUACGCUAAUACCGCAUACGAUCUAAGGAUGAAAGCGGGGGAUCGCAAGACCUCGCGCGAUUGGAGCGGCCGAUAUCAGAUUAGGUAGUUGGUGAGGUAAAGGCUCACCAAGCCGACGAUCUGUAGCUGGUCUGAGAGGACGACCAGCCACACUGGGACUGAGACACGGCCCAGACUCCUACGGGAGGCAGCAGUGGGGAAUUUUGGACAAUGGGCGCAAGCCUGAUCCAGCAAUGCCGCGUGCAGGAUGAAGG